AACGAACGCUGGCGGCAUGCCUAACACAUGCAAGUCGAACGAGACCUUCGGGUCUAGUGGCGCACGGGUGCGUAACGCGUGGGAACCUGCCCUUAGGUUCGGAAUAACUCCCCGAAAGGGGUGCUAAUACCGGAUAAUGUCUUCGGACCAAAGAUUUAUCGCCUUUGGAUGGGCCCGCGUUGGAUUAGCUAGUUGGUAGGGUAAAAGCCUACCAAGGCGACGAUCCAUAGCUGGUCUGAGAGGAUGAUCCGCCACACUGGGACUGCGACACGGCCCAGACUCCUACGGGAGGCAGCAGUGGGGAAUAUUGGACAAUGGGCGAAAGCCUGAUCCAGCAAUGCCGCGUGAGUGAUGAAGGCCUUAGGGUUGUAAAGCUCUUUUACCCGGGAUGAUAAUGACAGUACCGGGAGAAUAAGCUCCGGCUAACUCCGUG
rnacentral:rRNA from 1 species